UGCUGCAACUUUUUCAACACUGGUGAAUUGCUACUUUGUGUUUCUUCUUCCCCUUUAGGUACAGUUCAGUCACUGGAGGUAAAUCUACUUUAUGGCUGUACUAAAGAGACGAAGCAAUAGAUUUACUAUAAGGAUCAGUGUGGGCUCUGCCAUUUUUGUCAUUUCUUUGGAGGAAAAUUCUGAGAAAGAGGCGUUUGAAUUUCCAUAGACCCUGGGGCAGGUGAGUCAUACAUGAAUGGAUGGAUCCACUAGUCCUGGUAUAUGCUUCACAAUUUGAGCAGGGCCUCCUUUCUGCUGCUCCAUGUUGGUUUUUGCUCUCUCAUGUUGCUUAUUGGAGUGAAGAUAUGAAAGGAGAAUGAAAUGGACAUUUUAAUCAAUGGACUAAGCUUGAUCAAAGUGUCAUUACUAUUAUGUUGAAAGUGUUUUUAUUUACAAUUGGACCCAGCUGGAAUUUUGAAUGCACGAAGAACAAAGUCAUAUUUUCCUGGGAAAGCAAACUUAAUCCCAACUGUAUUUGAUCAAGACCUCGCUUUAAUCAUAGAUCACGUCAAAGUCUUAUAUAUAUAGCAGCGCAUGUUUCUGUACAACAGCUAAUCUUUCUAUGUGACCUAAAUGUUUAAGAUGGAAGGGAAUAACUUUUCUCCACUACAGAACAGAAGCAUGUGUCAGCAUAGCAAGUUACACUCUGAACACGGGUUGACAGAGAACACACAAUGACAUUUUAAGUACUAAACAUUAACAUUGGUGGGGCAAAGGAGGAGGAGAAGAGGAAAAUGGAGUGAGAGCUGGCACUAAUUGGGCAAGGUGACUGGGUCUGAGAGCCAGAAGAGCGAGUGGAAGAAGAUGAGGGGGGAAGGGAGAC
rnacentral:lncRNA from 1 species